rnacentral:miRNA from 1 species
CAGCAGACACAUUCCAGCCAAUCAGCAGCAGACCCUCCCUCCCAGACCCUCCCACCUCCUGGACAGCUCACUAAGAAUGCAGCUUCACAAUGAAUGUAAAAUGGAUGCUGUUCAGGAGGUGGGAGGGUCUGGGUGGGAGGGUCUGCUGCUGAUUGGCUGGAAUGUGUCUGCUG